rnacentral:tRNA from 2 species
AACGUGGCUCAGUUGGUAGAGCAGAUGAUUCGUAAUCAUCAGGUCGCGGGUUCGAGUCCCGCCGUUA